rnacentral:rRNA from 1 species
AGAAUCAACGCUGGCGGCGUGCCUAACACAUGCAAGUCGAACGAGAAAGUGGAGCAAUCCAUGAGUAAAGUGGCGCACGGGUGAGUAACACGUGACUAACCUACCCUCGAGUGGGGAAUAACUUCGGGAAACCGAGGCUAAUACCGCAUAAAACCUAAGGGUCAAAGGAGCAAUCCGUUUGAGGAGGGGGUCGCGGCAGAUUAGUUAGUUGGCGGGGUAAUGGCCCACCAAGACGAUGAUCUGUAUCCGGCCUGAGAGGGCGCACGGACACACUGGAACUGAAACACGGUCCAGACUCCUACGGGAGGCAGCAGUGGGGAAUUUUGCGCAAUGGGGGAAACCCUGACGCAGCAACGCCGCGUGGAGGAUGAAAUCCCUUGGGAUGUAAACUCCUUUCGAUCGGGAAGAUAAUGACGGUACCGGAAGAAGAACGCCCGGCUACUCGCGCCAGCAGCCGC